UCUUACAGCAACUGCACAAGUUUACCAUUCUUGUCACACACCCGUUUCCCCUAAGAACUAUAAAAAUUCUUAAAUUCUGCUCACAGUCUUAUGACAUAUAAUGAUGUAGAUGAAAAAUGUAUGCCAUUUUUCUUAUUCCUUUGCAGGUAACAUGUCCCUCGACAGGUGGCUCUGGUCUCUGAAAGAAAUUAUCACCAAAACAUCUAAAUAUGUGCCAUCAGCACUUGCUGAACAAAACGCUAGGUGCAUGUAAAAGUCUAGAAAAAAGGAAAAAGAAGUUCAAAGACUUGAUAUAAGAAAUGUCACAAAUUGCAUGUGUUACUUAAGAAAGGACAGAAAUUUAUUUUCAAAGAUUUGACUCCAAGUAUUGGCAAAGAUGUCGGGAAAGAGACUUAACUACACUGUUGGAAAUGUCCACCGUGGAAGCUUCUAAUAAGAUCUGACAGCUUGUUUCAAAAUGAUCUGAUCCCUGGCCAUCUCUCCCCAUCAUCCGCUGGCUCCAGGAACACUCUUUUCCCUCAACUUCUAGAACAGUAAGUACAUGCUCAUUCCAGCAUCUGGGCCUUUACCUCUGCUUCUCCUUCAUUCUGAGAGGUUCUCCCUUCCCUCAUUCAAAGAGCUAGCUUGUAUCAUAGCUUAAAUGUCACCACUUUUGACAGCAGGUGUCCCUCCUACCGCCACUAUUUUUUACUUCAGCACUUUUAACUCCUUUAUAGUACAGAUGGACCCCAACUUACAAUGGUUUCCCUUAUGAUUUUUCACUUUAUGAUGGUGCAAAAGCGAUAUGCUAUACUUUGAAUUUUGAAUUGUGAUCUUUUCCCAGGCUAUCAAUGUGCAGUAUGAUACCCUCUCAUGAUGCUAAGCAGCAGCAGCAAGCCAUAGCACCCAGUCAGCAGGCAACUGGGAGGAUAAACAAUCAAUACACCUAUAACUACUGUUUUUCACUUUCAGUGCAGUAUUCAAUAAACUACAUGAAAUAUUCAACACCUUAUUAUAAAAUAAGCUUUGUGUUAGAUGA